UCGACCGUAUCUUUUGUUUCAU
rnacentral:sRNA from 1 species